AGUAACGGCGAGUGAAGCGGCAACAGCUCAAAUUUGAAAUCUGGCCCCCCCGGGGGGGCCCGAGUUGUAAUUUGCAGAGGAUGCUUUGGGCGAGGCGCCUUCCGAGUUCCCUGGAACGGGACGCCACAGAGGGUGAGAGCCCCGUCUGGUCGGACGCCGAGCCUCUGUAAAGCUCCUUCGACGAGUCGAGUAGUUUGGGAAUGCUGCUCAAAAUGGGAGGUAUAUGUCUUCUAAAGCUAAAUACCGGCCAGAGACCGAUAGCGCACAAGUACAGUGAUGGAAAGAUGAAAAGCACCUUGAAAAGGGGGUUAAACAGUACGUGAAAUUGUUGAAAGGGAAGCGCUCGU
rnacentral:rRNA from 1 species